UAGUAUUGACGAGAAACAAAGUGAAGAGUUACUCGAAAACUGUGAUUCAUUAACGUGCGGAUGUAAUAGCUUUUUACAAUUUUUACAAUGUCAAAAUAUUGCAAAAAAAAAACGAACAAAAGAGAAACGAAAGAGCGGGCGACAACAACUUUCAUAGAAAUAUAUUUUUUCGUUAUCAAUAUUUUUGGUGCAACACUUUGGGAUGCCUUCGCCUACUCCCAUUAGUCUCAGUAAAUUAAAGGGAAAUACAAAAAUGGAAUAACAAGAAGCUAGAUUAAUGUUAAUUUAGAUUUCGCGAAAACAAGCAUGCAUACAUCGACUGAUCGACUUAGGGAAUGAUGAGCCAAUCGACUCGCAUUUAGAGAAUGAGCAAAAAUCAACGAUGUAUCAUACUCGUAUUUGGAGAAACUUUCAUCACUAUAAAUUAGAUAAUUUCGUGUAAUAAUAAAAAUAAUAAAAAUAAAAUUGCAAUUACGUCAAAAUAUAUUUUAUAAAUAUCCAAUUUGCUAUAAAUUAUACUUUUAUUAGACGACAAACUAAUAACUAAAUUUGUAAGCGGAUACUUUGCUUUCUAAAAAUAAAUUCGUCGAGACAGACGAUGAUGAUGACAAACGUA